UUUUUGGCUCAGAUACCUUGAUCAACUUAUUUUUGUUUAUUCUUCCCAAGGCUCUAAUAACUGAAUAGUGGUGGUUUUGAAUUAAAAUUUAAUACAGUGGGUCGCUGUACAACUCAACAACGCCGUCGCAUUCGAAAUCCUAUUACUAAACACAUAAAAUACAAGAGAUUAUUUUCUGCAAAGGAACGCAAAAAGAAUAUACUCCAGAUAUCAUUAAAAUAAUCUUGCUUUAUUUCAAAGUUGCACUGCAAUGAACUGUAUGAAAUGAAAUUGUGAGACUUUGCAGUAAAAAAAGAAAAACUAGCAUAAUAAUAUUUGCUAUAUUAGCACUCAAAUCAGUAGGAAUAUCACUAAAACAAACAAAGAAAAAAUGCUAAUGACAAUUAUCAAAGUUGAGAAAUAUAUAAAUAUCAUAGCAAAGUAGCCAUUCGAAAAUUCUGUUGCAGGAAAUAGCUAUUUCAAUGAUUUUCAAGUUUAUUGCAUUGGCUGUUACACAAUGAUUUAGGUACAAUUACAAAAUGUAUAUGUCUAGUACCAAUUACUUCUGCUCGAAUUAGAGAAGAGAGGAGGAAUAGCAGAUGCUUCUUGGCAAUGUAUCUGUAUUGAUAUCUGUGAUUUUGUCUAGAAUAUUGAAAUGAAUGAUCAUGUCAGUAAUAGUCGACAUGACCGUCUCAAAAAUAUUGCUUUGGUUCUGGUGUGGUGAACUGAACAGCAUUGAACUGUUUUGGUACCACUAAUGGGAAAAAAUCACUUCAUUGCCCCACCAGACUUCGGACAAGUUUGUUUUAUGAAUGGACAGUACGGUGAUGCUGUUUUCUCUUAAAUCAAUACGAGUGGUACGAGUAAGAUGUUGAUGUUGGAGGUUGCUGGAUGAUCCCAAUAAAUGACGCUAAUCUGCUAGACGAGCUGGCGCCGGCUCCUCAUAAAAUAUCUAUACUAUUGUCGCUAUCGUCAGAGAGGCUACGCGUUAAAUAUCACGUACGCCAAGAAGAAAGCUACCCUACCACUUCUGAACUUGCAGACUCUUAAGUCUCUUUUUGCAGUACCGCUUAUUGCAGUAGAUGGAUAAUGAUGUAACAACUAACACAAGUGGUUCAAAUAGCCCCAGCAACAUAAUGAACUUGAUUCUCACGCGAGGUUAAACAAAUGUCGCGGAUUCGGUUGAUUGAUAGAAACAAUUGCUGGCAACUGCAUUGAUAUUCCGAACAAUUUAAAACAACCUCUGCAACAACUAGGUCGUUCUGGUAUUAUAUAACUUUCAUUUUCCGGAUAAUGCAUCAAAGUGAACUUGCAUCCAAUCUUACGAUUAAAGCAUGCAUUUUCUUUACUACAGGAAAUUUGCCAAUCAAAACGAUUUAUUAUUUUGUUGAGUUUUAGCCGCCCAAUUAUAUCCAUUAAAAUCAAAUUUAUUCGAAAUGCACAUUAAGCUCCAAAAAUAAAACAAAUUAUUCUUGCUGAAUUGCAUUGCUUCCAUUCUGUUGUAUUAUCCCAGCAUCAUUCAGUCUAAAACAAGCAAAAAGCUCAUCGAAAAAAAACGUUAGUCAUUUAUAAAGUGAUAAUCAUGAACAAGCAAACGAAUCUAGUAAAAUAUCAAAAAUCGCUAUCACCUGCACUUGGAACUUUAAACACUUAUAUUUUAUCAUUAUUAAUUUCACCUUUUAUUUUGUGCCUAUCAAAAUAAAAAAAAUACUGGUGGAAAAUUGACUAAGCCAAUUUUCUCGAAAAAUGAAAUAAAUAAUAUAUUUGCGAAUACUUUGGACUUUGGUCUGCAAUUGAAUAAAUCCAUGGCAUGCAUACCUUUUAUCUGCAACAUUAAAUAAUCAGUUUAAAACACCUCGGUAAACAUAUACAUAUGGCUUUUGUUUUGUCUGGUAGGAACCGAUACAGAUUGGCUGUCCAACAAAUGACAAAUCAAAUCGGUUUGUGUUAAAUGGAUAUUGAAUACCCAUCUAUUAAUAUUUCCUAGAUAACAUCUGUGCUGCAUUUUAGACGAAAAAAAGAUGUUUCUUUUUAUCUUUGCAAUAGUUCAAUUUUAGAAUAAGCAAAAUAUAAUUAAGGACAAUAAGAAAUAAAGUUUGGAACGAAGUGAAGGAGAGGACAUCCUCUAGCUAAAAUAGUAGCAAUAAUUU
rnacentral:lncRNA from 1 species